rnacentral:tRNA from 1 species
GCCGCAGUAGCUCAGCAGGAUAGAGCGACCGCCUCCUAAGCGGUAGGUCGGAGGUUCGAAUCCCCUCUGCGGUGCCA